GAUGAACGCUGGCUACAGGCUUAACACAUGCAAGUCGAGGGGAAACGACGGGGAAGCUUGCUUCCCCGGGCGUCGACCGGCGCACGGGUGAGUAACGCGUAUCCAACCUGCCUCUGACUGAGGGAUAACCCGUCGAAAGUCGGCCUAAUACCUCAUGGCAUCGUCUGCGGGCAUCCAACGACGAUUAAAGAUUUCAUCGGUCAGGGAUGGGGAUGCGUCUGAUUAGCUAGUUGGCGGGGUAACGGCCCACCAAGGCGACGAUCAGUAGGGGUUCUGAGAGGAAGGUCCACCACAUUGGAACUGAGACACGGUCCAAACGCCUACGGGAGGCAGCAGUGAGGAAUAUUGGUCAAUGGGCGAGAGCCUGAACCAGCCAAGUAGCGUGCAGGAUGACGGCCCUAUGGGUUGUAAACUGCUUUUAUGCGGGGAUAAAGUGAGGGACGUGUCCUUCAUUGCAGGUACCGCAUGAAUAAGGACCGGCUAAUUCCGUG
rnacentral:rRNA from 1 species